GUUGAACGCUGGCGGCAUGCUUUACACAUGCAAGUCGAACGGCAGCGCGGGCUUCGGCCUGGCGGCGAGUGGCGAACGGGUGAGUAAUGCAUCGGAACGUGCCCAGUAGUGGGGGAUAGCCCGGCGAAAGCCGGAUUAAUACCGCAUACGACCUGAGGGUGAAAGCGGGGGACCGAAAGGCCUCGCGCUAUUGGAGCGGCCGAUGUCGGAUUAGCUAGUUGGUGGGGUAAAGGCUUACCAAGGCGACGAUCCGUAGCUGGUCUGAGAGGACGACCAGCCACACUGGGACUGAGACACGGCCCAGACUCCUACGGGAGGCAGCAGUGGGGAAUUUUGGACAAUGGGGGCAGCCCUGAUCCAGCCAUGCCGCGUGCGGGAAGAAGGCCUUCGGGUUGUAAACCGCUUUUGUUCGGGAAGAAAUCCUCUGGGCUAAUACCCCGGGGGGAUGACGGUACCGGAAGAAUAAGCACCGGCUAACUACGUG
rnacentral:rRNA from 1 species